CCUACGGGUGGCAGCAGUCGAGAAUCAUUCACAAUGGGGGAAACCCUGAUGGUGCGACGCCGCGUGGGGGAAUGAAGGUCUUCGGAUUGUAAACCCCUGUCAUGUGGGAGCAAAUUAAAAAGAUAGUACCACAAGAGGAAGAGACGGCUAACUCUGUGCCAGCAGCCGCGGUAAUACAGAGGUCUCAAGCGUUGUUCGGAAUCACUGGGCGUAAGGCGUGCGUAGGCUGUUUCGUAAGUCGUGUGUGAAAGGCGCGGGCUCAACCCGCGGACGGCACAUGAUACUGCGAGACUAGAGUAAUGGAGGGGGAACCGGAAUUCUCGGUGGAGCAGUGAAAUGCGUAGAUAUCGAGAGGAACACUCGUGGCGAAGGCGGGUUCCUGGACAUUAACUGACGCUGAGGCACGAAGGCCAGGGGAGCGAAAGGGAUUAGAUACCCGAGUAGUC
rnacentral:rRNA from 1 species